CCCCUGGAAUUCAACAUUUAACCUGCAAUAUUUUCCUUUACCAAAAACACAGAACAUUAAGUUACCAUGUCCUUCCUGAAGCUACAGAAUUUACGUAGUAUUGGCACAUUUUCUGCAGUGAACAAGAUGAAAAUAUUUUUCACUAGAAAAGAACUUAUAGCAAUGCUAGAAAAUGAAUGGUUUUUCUAUCACCCUAAAGUAUAUCUACUCGGCCAAGAUCAUUCAUCAUUCAUUGUGAAACUUGCAAACAAUGUAGUCUACAUGAAUACGUUUUAACGGAAUUGUCGCAAUCUGAAUAUGACAAGGAUUCUGAGAUUCGCAGUGUAGUGUUAUUGUGUAAAUCUGUUGUUAAAACAAUGCAUUUAGAAAAUGCAAUAAUUUGCAACGAUAUCAUCAGAAUGCAAAAUUGUGUAGAUGAAAUAACUGAUGACCAACACGACUUUUGAUAUUAUGUACCCC
rnacentral:lncRNA from 1 species